rnacentral:lncRNA from 1 species
UUCCACGUUGCCAUUCCGUGAUUAUACACUUUGAGCUGUCCGUUGCGCUAAAGAAAAUUGAUACCAUAAAAAUUGCUUGUCGGUCCCUUUAAACGUGGUCCUUGAAGCAAGUUCACAAAAAAAAAAUACUAGCAAGCACAGCUUGUAAUAUUGAAUUCAUCGAGUAAUCUAGUUGGUGUUAAGAUUGCUGUGGCUUGUCUUUAGAAUAUUUACACAUUUUGCAAAUGCUGAUUUUUGAUAAUUUGACAACUUUUAAUAACUGACAGUGGGUAGUACGCAGGCAAAUGAGCUGGAUUAAAUGUGUGUGCUGCACAUUCUUGUAACUGUACAGGGCGUUAUCUAUGUGUGGGACUCUAGCCACAUCCUGCAAACAGUUUUUGAAGCACAAGCUCUGCCGUAAGAAAUUGCCUUGCUAGUUGCAAGAGUAAACAUUGCACAAUUGUUCCCCCACUUGAACUGGUUGCUUGCCCCACUUGCAAUUGCCUCUACCCGAUCAAGCUUUCGUAUAACCUCUCUCCUCUUGCUUCUUCGAGUCGUUAUCUUACUGCUUUUGCUUAAAUGUGAAAGGAAGGAAGAAGAAAGGAUAUUGGUCUGCAGUGUAAUAUUUUGUUGCAAGUAAAUUUUGAGAUCUGAGAGCAUAGCCUUGCAAGGUCAUUCUUGUGCAAACCUUGGUUAAGACAAGAGUUGCUUUGGAAGAGAGAAAGGGGGAAUGGAAUAAAUAUUUUGAAAGCAAUCUCAACCAUGUAACGCCCAAGCACAGUUCUAGGAAAAUUUAAUCAAUAUCGUUCACCUUUAUUUCCAUCAUUUGUACCAAAAUAAAAGAUCCUGCGAUUUGGAACUUCAGUUAAGUAUUAAUAAUUAACUUAUUCAUUGGUUUUAUGGAACGGUCCACAGCUGAAGGUUCACUUCUGUUAUCAAGAAUAAAACAUAAGCUUUGUGUUAAGUUUUCCUUUCUAAAUCACUACAGUGAGGCUUCAAAUUCAUAGUAGCAUAUAGGGCACACUAGGCAUUACAUGGUUCAACCCGACUUCAUGAUAGCAUAGAUCAGUUGUGUGAAUCCAGCUUCAGUCAGCUUAGCAGAGGUCGACCUGCAUUUAUGCUGCAGAUUACUUCAUACUACUAGCCAGCUGCCAUGAGUCUUCUCAUUCAUCUUGCUCCUCUUCUGCCGUCAAACUCUUUUUCCAGGAGGCUACUCGGUCCGCAUCCGCGACAGCAACACCCCCGGCCGCAAGGUGGGCCUCUGGGGCUGUGACUUCUGUGCCUUCACACACGCCAACGUGUCUAAGGUCCAGGCUCACGUCCAGGAACAGCACCUGGCAGCUCUCAGGCACACCUGGGAGACAACGGCAACGCUGUGGCAGGCCAGUGAAUCUCAAGCGGACGCCCUGUGCAGCGACGGAAGUGGCAGCGCCGGUGGUGUUGUUGACUCGUGCUCCGCAGUGCAGCCGCAGACGGCUAGCAGACGACAGUUUCGUUUCCCGCCGAUGCCGUUCGUGCCCUCUGAGGACAGUGGUGGCAGUGUGUCGGCCUUCGAGCCAAUCGUCAUCUGCAAGAUCGACGAUGAGGACGAAGAGGAGAAGGACUGCAUGCGCCGUGCGGGCCCCUCAUUUUGAACUGGAAUGGGAGGGAGAGCUUGCAAUUUCUGGUCGUCACGAGGCGAACGUUUCAUUUGCAUGGGCACAAUCUCACGAGCACAUUAAUGCCAACCUGGCAGGCGUCCUGAUAUGUCGUCCCUUUGCGUAGUGCAUGCGCGAUUAGAUGCUGCAGUAAGAUUUAACGUGGCAGAACUUGGUACGUUAUGUGUUCACAGCUUUAUGCAGUUAGUAUUGCAUUACACACCAUUAUACAACUCACAGUUACUACAAACAUGAUUCAGUAAUGUUACAGUCAGUGGGCUUUAUCUCUUGUACUGAGAGAUACCUGCGGUUCAAUCUUGUCAUGUACUUUUCGUAAGUGCCAUUACUUUUGUGCAUGAUCUUGUCAGCCUGUAAUGCCUAUUGAGCAGCGAAGGCCCAAAUGCUGCGUCAAUGCUGUCAUCAAAAAACAUGCAGUCACUAUUGGUGCCAUGAACGGAUGCUUACAGAAAAGUGUAAAAGUGGAACCACAUAUAUCAAACACGUAUGCAAAAGGUUUUCAGCUUUUGUCUACUCUUUUGCAUUACUGCUUGCUCUUGUGUGCUUAGUGGUAGUUCACCUGUGGACAAAGGAGGAGACAUAUACCCUGAGAAGGACACCCUCAUAAGCAUAAAUCAAGCCCAUAAUGCCCAUUGCAACAAGCCAGCCUGAGCUUGUGCCGAUGCAAAUGAGACGUACAUUCUUCAUUUCACGGUGUGCUGGACGAAGCUUAUUGAGUUCUGGUUUGUUCAGGGGAGAAGGCAUAUAUAAACUUGUGUAUAGCAUGCGAGUCAGUGCUAUGUUCGAUUGUUUGUACAGUUCAUCCGAAGGCGUGGCCAAAUGUGAAAUGGAGACUGUUUUUUAUUAUCUGAUGUGCCGACAAUCGCGUUGUCUUUUUGCUGCUGCUACUGAACUCUGUCUGCAAUUCUGUUUGCUGCGACAGGACAUACAAGCAGAGAAAAGCUUGUUGUAUGCACUUGCUACGGGAAGCGAACUGCAUGGUGUUGUGGAGGCAUGCGUGCAGUCUUUUUCUAUGGAAACGAGGCAGUUCUAUUUUGCGAGGCAGGCAUCGCCGGCUCGAGAGUUGUUUCUUCGUAUUUGUAAUUAUCAUAACGGUUACGCUGUUCUUCUGCAACAUGGAUGACUCGUGUAUGAGGAAAAGUUGUAUACAGCAUGAACAUUUCUCUUUGUCCACGUCUCAUAUUCAUAAUGCCAGGCCAUUCCAUGUGCACAUCUCCUGCCUUCUCAAGGUUCACGUAGCUGUUAUUCUGGUCGCUACUUGUCGUUGUUAAAAUCUCUCAUGUUCUGUCCAGCAAGCAGGUAUUGCUCCCAUUUUCCGCUUGUACCACACGCCAUCCUUUCCGCCUCGGUAUUGAAUAGGGCAUUGCAAAAUUUUAUUUUUGUCAUUUUGAAAGAAUUUGCACGUAAUUUGGCAACACACACAUUCCUUGUCAUUUUCUUUACGCUGCUUUUUCUGAGGCAAGGGAAAAAAAAAUGUUUAGAAACCAGCGGCGAAUUGUAUGCACUGACAUCAGUGUUCCUUACAUUUCAUUUAAGGGAAUUGAAUUUACUGAUAUGUCAGCUCUUUGUAUUGAAGUACUAGACAUGAGCAACGAGGCAAUAUUUUUAAGAUGCAAGGAUUUCAUUGGUGUUAUUUUCAAGCUUUUUCCUUUUAAUGUUUUGGCUGAAACAUUUUAGUCAAAGUCUGCUCGUUACUGUUGCACCAAUUUUGUUGUGUUCUGUGUCGAGAUUUUUCGUGCUCUUGGUUUCUAUGAAGCUUUGUAACCACAUUUUGACUUCUGCUCUUUGGAAUGUUAGCUUCUUUGGUCUUGCUGUAAUAGGACUUCACUUAACCCACUGCAUGCAAGGUAACGUGCCAUUUUCAUGGCCUCUUUGCUAAUUUUUUCUUUGAUAAUGGCAAAAGCUCUGCUAGCAGCUGUAAUUUUAUUCUUUUACUUUAAUCACAACUUGUUGCUAAUGGUUAUGUUGCACACAAUGCAGUAAAUUCCAGACUAGCAGUUUUCAGUCGUGGCAGUGGAGUUUCGGUGAAAUUUUUACUGGACAUUAGAAAAAGUUGAAAUCGCAUGCUGCGGGCAUUUUCUAAGCUCGCGAGUGAUUCCAGCAAGAUCCCACCUUUGAAGCGCUCAAGUGUGACAGACCCCAAUUUCUCAGUUGAGUGAAUGUCUGGGCGAAGAUAUGUGCCACUUUAUUUCACCAUUUGCGAAUCUGUACAAAUUGAACCAAAGGGACACUCUUCGGAUGCAGGUGUUCUAGCGUCCGUGAAUGAAGUCACUAGAACAUGAUCUCAGAAUCGAUGAUAUUUGCUUUGCUGCCGCGUUUGCUGUCAACUCAAGGAAAUUACAGGCUACGAAGGAAUUGUGCAAUGAAUAAGAAGUCAUGCGAGCGUUUGUAGGAGCCUCUUGCACAUUUGUUUUUCUUUUCUCAGUUGCUAGAGCACUGGAGCAAAAUUCAAAAGUCCUUAACGAGUCUUCAGACUUCAGGACUGUGUGUAUGCGUAUGUGUACAUUGUCAAAGACGUCUCAACAUUGUUCUGUAAAGAGCUUUGUGUAAAGUUACAGGGUUUCAUAGUGCAAUGCAAACUUGUCUGUUGAACAUACUGAGUGCAAAGUGUUUCUGUGAUGCACAACCUUUCUCUGCUUAUUUUUUUCUGAAACAUUCCUUCUGUGCCAUGUACUUUGUUUAUUUGUACACGUCAAGUUGCAAUGCACCCGAUGUUUUCCUAGUAUUAUUUUUUAUCAUUGCGGUGAUCACCGUACUUGUUGUGUGUGAAGAUCUUCCUUUCUUUUUUUUUUGUAUACAUUAUUGUCAUAGUCAAAGAGUUUAUUAAUAGACUAUUAUUACUAUCAUAUAACCAAAAUUUAUCUUUCCUGUUGUGUCUUGACUGGCGCCUGCCCAAGCAUUUUAUUUUUACGGCAAGACAUGUGCCCCUUUUAAAAUUAUCAAAAUGACAGAGUGCCAAUACUGUACCUUCAGUGCUGUCAGGUUAGGCCUAUCAUAUGUAGUAUCUUUGCAGUUGCAAUAACCUGAUCUGAACUUUUGUGUCAUUUAAAAGCCAUAUAUGGUAAUUUGAUUACGUAAUCUCGAUAUUUCAACUUUCAUCAUAAUGAUCUUGGCACUCGCUGCUCUUAAUAUCGAAUUAUAGAGAUUUACUUAAGCAGUGAGUACAAAUAAACUAAUUUUGACCUGGUUAUACUAGCAGUCUGGGGAUAACUUGAUGACAUAUUUAUUACUUCUCUUUGAAAUAGUCUCACUGAAGCUGACAUUUCUGGCUGGGCUUGACUUGGUGCCAGCAGUGUACGGAAUCUGAGAGCAGCAAUGGCUAUCUUAACAAGGGACUCAUUGUUAUCUUAAAGGCCAUGGUGAUGACAUUGCUAAUUAAGGAGCAUUUAUAGUGCUUUGAGAGAAAGGAUGCAAUGUCUUGUGUGUUUUAAAAAGUUACUUUUGAGUGCUCUUUAACAGAGAUUUAUUGGUCACCUAUGUUCAGCAUUUCCAAUCUGCGCUUUUUGAAGGAAAGUGUGUAUCUCGAAAGGAUUUGCUGUAGCCAGCAUAAAUUUAGCACACUUGGCUCUCUCCUUGUAGUAUGCUCUUUGUCUGCGUGGCUCAUUCAGGGAGGUUUGUGCUAGCUAGCAAAAACAGAUAAAAAGGCAAAGCCUAUCUAUGCGAGUUGCACAAACCUGAUGUCACAAGCUUGCGUGAGUUCCAUCUUUCGUGAUUCAGGCUCUCUCUCUCUCUCUGAACCAUUGAGAAGAUAAGGCAGGACGGUUGAAGGAGACCCCCAUGGUCGUCAUGGGACGACAUCUGCCGAUGCACUUGACGAGGUUAUCAGUGAAGUUGCGAAAUGUGCCGACGUUGAGAAA